rnacentral:rRNA from 1 species
AAAGCUCAAAUUUUAAAUCUGGCAGUCUUUUUGGCUGCCCGAGUUGUAAUCUAGAGAAGUGUUAUCCGCGCUGGACCGUGUACAAGUCUCCUGGAAUGGAGCGUCAUAGAGGGUGAGAAUCCCGUCUUUGACACGGACUGCCAGGGCUUUGUGAUGCACUCUCAAAGAGUCGAGUUGUUUGGGAAUGCAGCUCAAAAUGGGUGGUAAAUUCCAUCUAAAGCUAAAUAUUGGCGAGAGACCGAUAGCGAA